rnacentral:rRNA from 1 species
UACGAAGGGGGCUAGCGUUACUCGGAAUCACUGGGCGUAAAGGGUGCGUAGGCGGGUCUUUAAGUCAGGGGUGAAAUCCUGGAGCUCAACUCCAGAACUGCCUUUGAUACUGAAGAUCUUGAGUUCGGGAGAGGUGAGUGGAACUGCGAGUGUAGAGGUGAAAUUCGUGGAUAUUCGCAAGAACACCAGUGGCGAAGGCGGCUCACUGGCCCGAUACUGACGCUGAGGCACGAAAGCGUGGGGAGCAAACAGG